UGAGGAACCUAUCCCAGUCUCUGGAACAACAAGUGGAAACACUUGCUAAUACCGGAUGUCGUUGGAGCACCGCAUGGUGGACCAACGAAAGAUUUAUCGGUCUGGGAGGGCCUCGCGGCCUAUCAGCUAGUUGGUGAGGUAACGGCUCACCAAGGCGUCGACGGGUAGCUGGUCUGAGAGGAUGAUCAGCCACACUGGGACUGAGACACGGCCCAG
rnacentral:rRNA from 1 species